AGAGUUUGAUCCUGGCUCAGAAUCAACGCUGGCGGCAUGCCUAACACAUGCAAGUCGAGCGAGAAAGGGUAAGCAAUACCUGAGUAAAGCGGCGCACGGGUGAGUAACACGUGGAUAACCUGCCUCAAAGUGGGGAAUAACACCGGGAAACCGGUGCUAAUACCGCAUAUUCUGACGAAGUCUGCGGAUUUUGUCAGGAAAGGAGCAAUUCGCUAUGAGAGGGGUCCGCGGCUGAUUAGCUAGUUGGUGAGGUAAUGGCUCACCAAGGCUUCGAUCAGUAGCCGGUCUGAGAGGACGGUCGGCCACACUGGAACUGAGACACGGUCCAGACUCCUACGGGAGGCAGCAGUGGGGAAUUUUUCGCAAUGGGGGCAACCCUGACGAAGCAAUGCCGCGUGGAUGAUGAAGUAUCUCGGUACGUAAAAUCCUUUCGACGGGGACGAAACCGCAAGGUUGACGGUACCCGUAGAAGAAGCCCCGGCUAACUCCGUG
rnacentral:rRNA from 1 species